UUCAGUAAUAGGUUUGUUUUAUGCCUACUUGUAAUUGUGUUGAUCUAAACCAUUCAUAUACAUACACUUUAGCUCAAAAUCAUAUAUAUUCCUUCUUCAAGAUGAAAUUUCAAGAUCUAGAUAUGUUUUUGAAAUCAUGAUCUUGCGGUGAAUCUAGAUAGAUAUGAUCUUUCAAAAAUUAAGAGAAAUAACAGCAUGAAAGAAUCACUUACGUGAGGAGCCUAUUUCACUGUUUAACAGGUGCAGAUAUCCAUCAUAAAUUAAGCCUCAUUUGUGCUGAGUGGUUGAAUUGCUGAGGAAUUAUUUUAUUGGUAUGUGAAACAUUUACUAUGUAUAGCUGGACAGAUUCCCAGGACUUCUGAUGAAACAUAUUAAUGCACAAGAGAGAACAUCCUUUCCUCAUAAGACUUGUGAAAUCAUAAGCUUUGCUCCUCUCAGUAUCUUAUAGAAAUUUCUUAAAAACUAUCUGAAUUGUCCAUAGAACAAGAACAACUAUUAAGGUAUUUUUAGAUAGAAAAUGUUUUCUCUCUGUUCAGGAGAGCUGCUGUUAUAGACAUUAUAGACCCAAAAUAAAACACCCUUUUAUUUAAAUUACAUUUUUCUUCACCCUAUAUAGAAACUGCCUUUUUCUACAGAAAGGUGAGAAACCACGUGGUGCUUUAAAGAAUUUCAGAUGCCCAAAAGAGAAGAGCGAUACUGGGAUCACUUCAAAAAGUCCAUUAACUUAGAAGUCAAUAACUAAUAUUUGGCUGGGAAUUAUUUGCAUGUGUUCUUUGAAUAAGGAGCACUAGAAUAAUUUAUUUAGACAAUUCAACAGUGGAUUUCCAUAUCUGUGGAACAAUCAAAAUAAUGGUACAAAGAUGGGAGAGACUUUCAUUUCUCAUCUAAAAAUUCUUGGUUCCCAUCUCUACUAUGAGAUCUGGGUUGGCUAUCUAGAAUAAUUCACCUUCAUGACAAAUACAAGCAACUUAAGCUCUUAGAGAGUUACAAUAUGCAAGAAAAAAAAGAUACCAAUAGCAGGUUUACAUAGACAAGAAAAGUUUCAAACAAGUGUAGUCCAUGUUUCUUGCAACUGAGGAGUCACAUAAAAACCACAAACAAAAUCAGACAGCAGUAAGAGCCAAUAUGAACUAUGCUAUAUUAAAAAUUAAUAAUGAGAGCCAUGAAAUCUUUAGAGCUUACAUGAGCAUUAUAAAAUGCUAAUGUAACUAACACCAGGGAGCUCUGUAGAAACCAUCCCUCUGCAAAUUCAAAAGUAUAUUAAAAAAUCAAAUUAUUUCCAGGACAAGAAAUAAUACAUGCAUACAAAUUUGCAAAGUUGUUUUUUUUUCUCUCUUCAUGAUUCGCAGGUGUAGGCCACCAAGGUACGCAUAUAAUUUUCAAAUAUAUGUUUCUCUGAGAGAGCAGUGAGUCCUCUGUCCCACCUGCUAAAAACUGCCUUUGAAUUUAAAUUGAGGGAACAUGAACAUGAGUAGUACAAAUGUCAUUCCAUCCUCUAAACACUGUGCCUAUAGACUGGAUUGCUCACACAUCUGAAGGACUUCUGUAGAAUGGCUGUAAACAGAUGAUUGUGCCAGUAUUUUGCAUGCUUUAUUCAUAUUACAUGGAAAAAAGUAGGUGUGCAAGGCAGAGUAAAUAUCUGUGUGCUGGCUUUGAAUUUACACUGGGGACAUUUCAACUUCUGAAUGGUCGGGCAAAGAGUAUAUAAAAAAGGCAACAAUUUUUAAAUUAUUAUUUCUUUUUUAUUAUUAUUUUUUAAUUUGCUAUGAGGCACAGAAAACAGAUGGAAAGCUGCCAAACUGUCAAAUCUUCCUUUUUUCCCAAGAAGAUACAAACUGCCCAUAUAACAAAGGGAUGAAGUGUUUCUCCAUGAACACUGCAUGCUUUAGGCUAAACCCAGUGAAUUAGUUUAACUAAAAUUGCAGAAUAAAUGAAGGAAGCAUCUUUUUAUUGUAACAUUGAGCAUUUUAAUUAAAAAUGAAAUCGUGGUUUCUGCCAUUAGCACUAGCACAUUCAUAGAGAUGUGCAAGAAAGACCUUCCAUUUUCACAGAAUGGACAUUUCCUUCUGUCCCAGAUGCAAAAGUUCAUAGGGAACCUGCUAUCCCGUUAUACCUGACCAGCACAGUCACAGCCACUCUCACAUGGAGAGUGAUCCUUCCAGUAAAGGGGCAGCCAGAUCAGCUGGAAGAAUUUUUUCCAUUAUUUAAAUGCAUCAUUAAUUCUUAAUGUUUCAAAUACUCAUUGGAGUAUGACAGAGGACAUCAGUCACUUCCAUCAAGACUGAAAUUCAUGGGAGCAAAAGCCCUUUACUAACAACUAAAACCUUUCUGGAAUAACACUGGAAACACUUGUUCCUAUUUCCACAGGCUCAGCAAUACUUCAGCUGGCCUUUUUAUGAAUAACAGCUGAGGGUAUGAUAUGUAAUAGCAGCCUGUACAGAAAUCACACUUCCAGUCAGAGACUGGAACAUGCCAGUUCAAUAAUCUCAACUCUUUACUUGAAAGAUUUUACACCUGGGAGCAACGAAAAGGAUGUUUUAAAAAUAUAUAUAUGUUAUUAUGUAUUAAUGUUAUAUAUUAAACAGCUACAAAAUUAAUUGCAAUUCAUACUGUUAACUUCUGCUAAUCAGUUCAUCUUCUGCCUAAAAUGUUACUCUUUUUAAAAAUGUGUUUAUUGCAUUAAAAAGCUAGAGAUAAAGAACUGACUUCUUCCUUGCCCAGAUUUUUAUCAUAAAAAUGUUUUUAGUCUUCUGGUUUAUGUAACUAUAUCAAAGUUGGUGGAAGAGAAUAUGAUAUCUGCAACAAGUAUAAAUUUCAAGAAUGCUUCUAUUUUGUGGUAGAAUAAUACUUCAUUGAAAAAAUAAUACACUUAAUAAAGAAGUUAAGGGAAAUUGUUGUUCCUUGACGCUGAUGACCUCUUAAACUUCCUGAAACGGAUUAAAUAUUAUCAUCAGUCUGGCCACCUCCAGAUAAAAUGAAAUAAUGAUUUGUAUGCAAGCAGUUUACAAGAGACUGAAUGGAAGAGCCUGAAAAGAGAGCAAAAUAUUGACAUGACUGGCCUGAGAAGAUAAAGGAAAUAAUGAAUUCAAAAUAAGCAAUAGAGAUUAACCAUCAUUGAGUGUUCAGUUUGCAAUUGCUCUGUGAUUUAGGCACUUCUCUUGAAUUAACUACUGAAGAAAGGAAUGCAAGGGUCCAUCUGCUUCCCCCUGUUUAAUUGAAAAGGGAAGCGUGCAGAAAAGCACAUGGUGUGUGCACAUAGGCUCACAACCCUUCUCCUCCAGGUGUGGAAUAAUGUUUCACAGAGACAUCCUCCUGGUCAUUGUUUGGGGUUGGGACAAGCUCCCCAUCUCAGAUCUUACCCAAAAAAAUUUCCAGGGCAAAUCCAAGUUAUGGAUCUGUAAAAGGUCAUCCCUCCUUUUAACUACACUAAAUGGCAUUCAUAUCUUCCAGCAUACAAUCUACAGCAAGCUCUCCAAUGGAAAUGUUCUGAAAAUACCAGGUGACAGGAUGAAAACAUCUCUGCCACAGUACAUUUCUUAUCUGUUAAAUAUACUGUAGCCAGAUCAAUGCAAGUGGCACAAUACCAAGAGGCAUGGGGAAAAGUUGGAGUACACAAGGUUUGCAUUGUGCCUGUUAGAUUUCAAAUGUAAAGCAAGAGCAAUGAACAAUGAGGAUUUUAAGGAAAGACCUUUGCUAUUGAGGUGGUUAAAGUGAUUAAAUAUAAUAGAACACACAAAGAGAUAGGCCUUUCCUGAAACAACAGAUCCUGAAUGCAGAAUGCCACCCAAAAGGCGAAAUGGAUUCACAGGAUUACUUGGUUCUCUCCUUUGUACUUACUCUUCAUGUUUGGAGUUUCAUGUUGGUAUGAGUAGAAUGCAAUCAAAGCCAGAUGAUUCAGGGAAUAAAGGGAAGACUUAGGUACUAUAUCUAAACAAUGCUUGUACAGUUGCUUAUUUUAAGGGAAAAACAUGAUGGCAAAAAGAGGGACAGGCAGGGCAGGUCUCAGUGUAGUAUGGAUCCAGAUCCAGAGGAGUCACUUUGCAGCCCCUUUUGUAACAUUACACUUAAUUUUUAAAACAUACCAAGAUUAUUAUGUUAAGUACUAGGGGAAAAAAAUAAAAAGAAGAUGGCACUAUUUACCAGAAGACUGGAUUUUCUUUUUCGUGUUUGUACACAUCCAUGAUCUUUUCUACCAGAGAAGAGUCUUGCAACACAUAUGUCUCUUCAUUGCUCAUUUUCUUUCUUUCCUCUCUGGUUCUUUGUCCCUCUUGCUAAACUGUGAAUGGCCCUGUUGUGCAGCUCUGUGGACUCAGAAAUGAAUGAAUUUCACAGCUGUAGACAUUUUCACAGAAGUACAGACACAGUUCCACUGUCAAGGCUACACUGAACUCAGAGCAGGUUCAUUAAACAUAUGAAGCUGCUCCUUAUCCUCCCUAUAAUGCCUGUUUGGGCAUUAUAGAGGGUGGGAAAAAAUGUGCAUAGAUUUUUGAUGAUGGGGUGGUUAACAGCUGGAGCAGAUAACUGAAAGAAGCCAUUAUCCACCUUAUCCUUCUCCCUCUGCAAUCCUUCUGAUCAAGGCUUGAUGUCUUACUGAGGGAUCUGUUGCUGUCACACACAAACUACCAGGCUCAGCACUAAAUUGACGAGGUGAAAUGCAAUGGUUGAAAUAGAAAGGUGCUCAAACUACCUGAUCAAAUAUCUCCCUCCUACCCUUUAAUUCAGUAACUCUAUUAACAGAAUAUAGUCAAUAUUGUGGAGGAUUUCAACUCAGUCCUCUAUUAGCUUAUGAAUUGUUUAAAAAUUGAAUCCUUCAGAAAUGUGGCAUUUGGUGCAAUUCUUGUCUCAAAUGAGCUUAGAGAAACAGUUUAUCAGUCUUCUAAUUUAUUAUUAAAGUUUAGUAAUAUUUCAAAGAGUUGCACACUAGAAGAAAAUAGCUGUUAUGUCUAAUUGCUGAGAUUAAUUUACAGUUAUCAGUUUAUUAGGAAUUUAAGUUUGUACUACAAUCCUAAUUUCCAUUAAUUGCUAUACUUAUUCAAUUUUAUAUCCCUAAAAACCUAAGUUAGAAUGGUACAUUUGGGUUCAAAACUCACACAAUUUAUAGUUUUAAGCUUCAAGAAUAAUAAUCACAUCUUCCAGAUAGCACAUUCUCCCUUCUUUUGCAAAGGCAUUCCUCAGGUGAGAAUCACAGAAUGCAGUCUCCCAAAAAAGCCUCAUACUACAGAGAAAUUAUAUUAUAAAAGUGAAAAAAAAUCCCUGAAGAUGGAAGCAAAGGUAAGGCUAUAUGGCAGUGACUUACAGUAAAAUACAUUCGAGAGAAAAGGCAUUAAUUCAAACCCCAAGAAUUAUAAACCUUGGAACUUCUAGGAUAAAAUUAAAUGUAACAAGAAAUCCAAACAAAGCACAAAGAAAUGAAGAGUCAAAUAUCUAAAUAAUCUUAAUUAUGGUUUGAGAAAACAUCUUUUUAAAUCUCUUAACUAGCUAGAAGUCAUAACAUUUGUUUGCCUAAUAUGUAAUAUUUGUGUAUAGCUAUUAAUACACUUGUGCAUUUGAAGAUGAAUGAUACCUUUCUACUUCAUGGUGUGUAACUGAAAGUUCAUGAGAAACCUCUCUCUGUUCUGCAGGGAAGACCAAAAAAAAACCACAACAAGCCCUUAAAAAUUUGUAAAUCAUUUCCAAGUGCACAAAUGUAAAACUAUCUCAGUACAAACCGCAUGGUUUUGCCUGGUUACAGUCACCACAGUAACACCCAUGUAGCUGUUAAAUAGCUCAUCUUCUGGAAAAAAGAAGAGGAUAAAGCAUAAAUUAGAAAGCAAUAUACAUACCAGAUACUGCAAUGCAUCACAGGAGCAUCAGUGGCACCAUAUAGAGUCUGACAAUUGGUCAGUGUAACAAGCACACCAGUGGCUACAGCUUUUGGAUCCAGACUGGUACCUCUGCAAGUCCAGAGGGGGAAGAGUUAGGAGGACAUUUGGAGAUUAAGGCCUCUGUGACAGGAGCAGCUGCAUGGGGAUGUGAGGACAUUCCCGAGCUGUCAGUAGGGUCAUGCCUCUCUGUCCUGCUAAGGACAGGGAGACAAGAGAAACUGGGCUGAUGGACCAAGAGCACAGCUUGUGAGGAGCCAGGCAGACCCAGCUCCACAGCAGAACUCUCCUGAUGCCAUAUCUUGUCUAUCCAAGAAGCAAUGCUAAAAUUGUUAAGCAGAUCCUGAUGACAUGUUAGGACAACAGCACAGAAAUGCCUCCACAAACCUGGCAGAGGCCACCCAAUAGAAAUGAUCAUUCUGCCAAGAGGUGGCAAGGAAGGGUGUUCAUAGGUAGUACCAGGAACAAGGCAUAUAGAGAAAGCUCAAACCCAACCUCCUGCUGUGCCAUUAGCAGCUGUGCUUCCUCUGAAUGACUCUAAUAAUUUGCUGGGUGCUCAAGAUGGAGAUGUAAUACUAUUAAUUACAGAGGCACUGCUUGUAGCUCCCGUAGGCAAAACAGAUGUUGUAUGUUACACUCUCUGUGCACAUUAGACUCAAACUGCAAAGUAUAUUAUCCCCAAACUUAAAGCACUACCUGAGUAAAAUAUUCACAUGAUAAGAGAUUACCUGACAUCCGCUAACUAUUUCCUGGUACAAGAGUCAAAUCAUGUAAUCUUCACUUGGAUCAGUGGCCAAUCCCAUUUUGUAUUAAUGUCCCAAAGGCACACAGAGGCAGAAGCCUUGUUUGCUGGGAAUAAAAAGAAGCUGAGACUCUCUCCCUCUCACAAAAUAUUGCUCACAUUGGCCUGGUUUGCUUACAAAAAACAAAAUAGGCAGUUAGCUAUUUCCCUGGAAAGAACUGCUUUUCUAAAAGUUUUCACUGGAAUGCCAACAACUCCUAGUUGAACCACAGGCUGAGCUCUCAGCCUGUGCUGCCAUGAUGUUUCUGCCUGAAUUAUGAAAAACCAAGAUUUCUUUAAAAAGCCAUACGCUCUUUAUCAUCUUGGGAGGAAAAAAAUCAAUACAGAGCUUUAACCACUGUCAGUUCUGCCCCACCACAGCAGGUCUGAGACCAGCAUCUGCAAAAAGCUCCCAAAGACUGCACCUUGCUCCUGCAUUGCUACCUGUUUACCCAGCAUCCCUGUGGAAGAACAUAUUGAAGCCUAUAGUAGACAUUCUCACUUCUGGGUCUAGAACCAGCUUGCUUAUAACUUUUUCUUUGUUCAAAAAUCUCAUUGUCAGGCUUACCCAGAUAGGAUUUUUUUUUCCUUUGCCAUUGUUAAUGGAUAACUUUGUCAUGGUUGUUAAAAAGUUAUACGUGGUAUGAAUCAGCAAGUGAAGGUAAUACUCAUGGAGGAGCUGGAAAUUCUUCCUUAUUCCUUUCUGCCCGUCUUCUGAAAAGCCUAGUUUUGAUUAGCCAAAUAUUGGGUGGUACUUCAGAGAAACCAGGUAGGCUGAGGCAUAAGCUGUCCCAGGAACACAAGGGUUCCUUGCUUCUCUUGCUGCUAGGGAAGAAGGCUCAGAGCUUCCAGACAGUUAAGGCAGCAAGACAAACUGAGAAGGAGAGAAGAGCUGAGGAGGAGAAAUGAGCUGAAAUUGAGUGUAAUUGAGCCCAUGGUGCCUCACUGCCCAUUUCAAUUAUAAAUACUGCUUUAAAAUGUUAUUUAUUGUUAUAUCUCUUAAAUACAGUGCAUUUUAUAGACCCACUCCUAGAGCCAGCACUGUGACAGCGUCCAAAGGAUGAUUUUUAAUCAAGUGGAGGCUGUGCACAUGUGUAGGGAGCAUAUUUAACAAAUGUAAUGAUGUCAGAAUUAUAAACUAAAAUGCACUUUAUAUCUGCAUCUAAUAAAAAGAUGCCUGUACAGGCUUCUGGACAACUCAGUUUAAAAUAAAUUUAAAAUUAAUUUAUGUCAGUACAGAGUUUUGCUAUCCAAUUACAUAAAGUAUUAAAUAUCACAAUUCAAACAUUUUUGUCAUUUAUCUCAUACUGAGUUUUUUUCUAAGUUUAACCCUAACUUUUUUCACUUUAUGGUAAUUCUCCUGGGAGUAAUUACUCCAUUUCCACAGCAGUAAUUUGGAUAGCAUAAGAACAACUAAACUCAGCCUUACUCCCUCCAUCAUAAUGAAGAUUUUGCCUAGAAACAUAAUUUUUUCCAUUCACAUUAUUUGAAAUAUGACACAUAAUCAAUAACCUGAAACUGCAUAAAACUUUCUUAUAUGAUAAUUCUAUUGAUUUUUAAAAUAAAUAAUUAAACUAACUGUUAAGACCAAGUUCAUCAAUACAAUCUGACUCUUUUGUUCCUCCCUACUGAGUAGGACAAAUCAAUCAGGGUUAUGAAACAGCAUAACCAGUUUUCUGGAGCUAUUGCACCAUUCUGAGAACAUACUGAAUAGCCAGUUUAUACCCUGUUGUUCUCUCCUUGCUCUCCCAUCCCCCUGGCACACAUCCCUGCUGCUCCAAAUCACAACCUUCUCCUGAUUCUUCUCUUACUGCAUUGUACAGUCCCCAAACUCUCCAUCUCCAUUCUCUUUACUGUGCUACCUCAGUUUGCUACUUCCUACACUGUGUUCCUUCACAAAAUAAUGAAUGUAAUUUUAGGAAAGACAUACUGUAUUUUUCCCCAUAGGGGUAGAAUGCCAAAUUGUGUUAAAUGUCAAAUUUCGUUCCGCUUCAAUGAGAGAAGCAAAUCUGCAAAUUGGCACCUCUGCUCAGACUGUAUUUAACAACAGGACUUUAUUAGUUCUCUGCAAGGCAAAGCAGUCCCCUGGUAGAAAAGCCAAAAAGCCUCUCAGGAUUCCUUUGGAAGCAAAGCAGCUUCCCCAUAGGAAUGGCUGGCUCUCAUUUUCUCUCAUAUUCUGAUGUCCUUAAGACCUGUGCCACAUGAAAUAGAAUCUCUCCCCACGUGAACUUGUGUACACCUCAAUUUCUCUUUCACUUCCCGUGAUCUCACCAACGCCCUCAUCAAGCAGCUGUCGACUUAAGCCACCACUGAGAGCUGCUUCUGCACCCAAGUGGCUGGAAUGAGGAAUCUCUUCUGUGGCAGAAGCAGACAGUGUGGCAGGAUGGGAUCAGCAACAGGGGAGAUACACCAGAGAUGAAGGUACUCUUUCAACUGCUCCAGUCCCAAAAGACAUGAAGUACAGCAAUCAAGAUACUCACCAAAAGACAACAGAAGUUCAAAGGACAACCAGCAAGAGCUGAAGACAACGAGCCCACAAAAUGCCACUGCCACAGAAGGUCUGCAGCACCCAAGUAAUCAACCCUGAGUACAUCAUGAGGAAAAAGAAAGAAAUGAAAGCCAUCACAUAUGAAGCCUAUUUUUGGAAUCAGUAUCCUCUCAGACAAGGAAAUUAGCUACUAAAUACAAUUACUGGCUAAUGAAGGUAGUCAUAAACUGCUGAAACCACAGACAACUUUAUGAUGCAGCAAAUCAAUACACUCAGAAAAACAGACACAAGAAAAUAUCCACAAAUGGCUCAUGCAGGGCCCAAACCUCACC